rnacentral:snRNA from 1 species
CAGGGAAAUAUAUAUAGUAAGA